rnacentral:lncRNA from 1 species
ACCGCUCAUUAAUUUAUUACUGAUCAGAUCCAGUGACAUCGACCGCCGCGGGCGCAGCGCGGCACACAGAGAGCACCGGAAGCGCCGCCACCGCCGCCGCCCACCGCCGCCCCGCAGCGCCCACAGCGCCCCCAGCGGCCGCGGCUCCGUCAGUCCUCCUCCGUGCCGCUGCCGGAGCGCUCCUCUUCCUGCUCCUCGUCGCUGUCGUCGUCGCUCACCACGGGUUUGGCCGGGAGCCGCGGCUCGCCCGGCGCCGCCCCUUCAGCCGCUCCUGAGCCUUCUCCUUCCGGCCCAGUUUGAUCUUCACCUUCACCGAGCGAGC